GUUUGAUCCUGGCUCAGAUUGAACGCUGGCGGCAUGCUUUUACACAUGCAAGUCGAACGGCAGCGGGGGCUUCGGCCUGCCGGCGAGUGGCGAACGGGUGAGUAAUGCAUCGGAACGUGCCCAUGUCGUGGGGGAUAACGUAGCGAAAGCUACGCUAAUACCGCAUACGCCCUGAGGGGGAAAGCGGGGGAUUCUUCGGAACCUCGCGCGAUUGGAGCGGCCGAUGUCGGAUUAGCUAGUAGGUGAGGUAAAGGCUCACCUAGGCGACGAUCCGUAGCGGGUCUGAGAGGAUGAUCCGCCACACUGGGACUGAGACACGGCCCAGACUCCUACGGGAGGCAGCAGUGGGGAAUUUUGGACAAUGGGCGCAAGCCUGAUCCAGCCAUGCCGCGUGAGUGAAGAAGGCCU
rnacentral:rRNA from 1 species